UCCCUCUCAGGGUUGCACCUGGAGAGUUUCUAGUAUGCUACCAGUCACAACUACAGGAGAGAGAGUCAAGCAGAGGCCUACCCCUUCCAUUCCUAGCUUGGGCAGUAGCUAGUGGGUGGAAGGCAAUCUGCCACAAGU